UGUAAUACAAAUAGUUCAUUGAACCAAUAUUUUGAAUAUUGCUUUGUGAGAAUGAUCUGUUCCAAUCCGCAAGACACCUCCAAGCUUAUAGGCAACAAGGGGCAGUCUAAGACUAAGAGCAGCAAUGGUUCGACCUCUCAAAACGGUGGCCAAAAGAAGACUGUUCAAUCGGGUCUUGCCUAUAAAAAUUCUUGAAAUGCAUUCAAAACAGGUGAUCAUGUGGAAGAAGUGGCCGGAGUUAUAUGUAGGAAGCGCGCAGUGAUUAUUAUAGUCAUUAUUUGUUUAUUUAUGAAUUGUUCGUUUCAUAAGCAUUUGUUGUUUACAACCUUUUUUCUUUUUUUUUU